rnacentral:rRNA from 1 species
AUACGGAGGAUCCGAGCGUUAUCCGGAUUUAUUGGGUUUAAAGGGUGCGCAGGCGGCCAUUUAAGUCAGCGGUUAAAUCGUGGGGCUCAACCCCAUUCUGCCGUUGAUACUGGGUGGCUUGAUUGCGGUCGAGGUUGGCGGAAUUCUUUGUGUAGCGGUGAAAUGCAUAGAUAUGACGAAGAACACCGAUUGCGUAGGCAGCUGACCAGACCGCAAAUGACGCUCAUGCACGAAAGUGCGGGGAUCGAACAGGAUUAGAUACCCUGGUAGUCCGCACAGUAAACGAUGAAUACUUGUUUUCGGCGAUAUAAUGUCGGAGGCAAAGCGAAAGCGAUAAGUAUUCCACCUGGGGAGUACGCCGGCAACGGUGAAACUCAAAGGAAUUGACGGGG